UUACAGCUGAAUGGUCUUUAAGGAGGUUACACAUUUCUCUCGUUGCAUCUAUCCUGAAACAGGGAGCAAAUUAACCGUGUCACGUACAUAAUAGUCAAUAGUAUACAAGUAACUGAGUUUAUAGAGGCUAUCAAAAGUUCACCUGAAGCUCAAGGAUUGACUUUCUUAGGUUCUCAAUGUUUGGACUUUCCACUUCCUGAUGCGAUCAGCCUCCUGCUGUAGUUUGACGUGUAGAGAGGAGAUUCUCUCAUUGCUCUGACCCUGUUCUUGCAGCUGAGACUGUUCAUUUUCUGCAUAAUGGCAUGCAAAGAU